GGUCAAGCUACAAAGGGCUCACGGUGAUACCUU
rnacentral:rRNA from 1 species